AACAAAUUCAUACUCUCAACCACAAGAAAUAAACCUAUAGAUAUUUCCAACGGUAAUUUUUAUAAAAAUAAAAUAUUCGAACGACUUAACACAGUAACGAAAAGCUUAAUACUAGAAGAGAAAAUUACCAACACACCGACCGGGAAGUGUAUGUGAAAACUAUAAAGCUGUUAGACACAAGUAAAGUCGAUAAUAACGAUUACAACAGUAGUGACAUUUCUGAUAUUGAGCAACGCGACCUUGAUAGUGUAAAACGUUCAUGGUGUAAAUGGUUUCGUCGAAAUUUUCCUCGAAAACGUAGAGAUAACAUGAAAUUACAGCACAAUAUUACAUAUUAUCGACCGUUUAGAAAUCAUAAAAGUUACCGAAAGUCUUGAACACAAUAUAGAACAAAUCAUAAAUAAGGUUAAAUCGAAUCGGGUCUACGUAACCGGAACGGACCCGGAUUUAUUCCGGCCAAGGACUGUCAACUCGGUAGAAUUCUGCCGCUACAACAACAACAACUAAUUAGUUUUAUAGGAACGGGUAUGAAAUGGCUAUACGGUACAAUGGACGAUAGUAAUAGAGAAGAAAUAUAAAUACUGCUUCAAACAAUUGACGAGAAUAACCAUGUAAUAAUAUAAAUUAAAAUAUGGGUAUAAGUAAUGUAUUUAUUGUAACAAUUUUAAAACUCAAAGAAGCUAUAGAAGGGGAUAGAAAAAAAUUUACAAGAAAAUUUAAUGAAAUUCUUGAAAGUGAUCAACAAUUGGAAAAAAAUAAUGUAUCUCGAUACUCUGUUAAAAAUUAAAAUCUUAUUAGACAAUGUUGAACACAUACAAAAUAACCUUCAUUACAAUAUAGAUUUAUAUCAAAUACAAAAUACUAAAGUUAGCACAGCUCUAUAUAUAAAUAAUAUAAUGUUAUACAAAUACCAAAUGAAAUAAGUAAAGUAAAAAGAUCCUUAUUUAUACCAAUUCCAAAUGAUAAACCAAAGAGCAUUUGUUUGAAAUGUAAGAAAUUAUAAAAACUAACGCAAGUAUAUAUUAUUAUAAUAAUGAAUCCACAAUGAAGUUUAAAAACAUUACAAUAAUGCAUAUUCCCAAAAACUUGUAUGAAAAUUAAAAGCCAUAAAUUGGCAACUAAAGAAAUACGACCAGGUUUGUUAAUCCUGAAAAACCAUGUCAACGCAGUAGUUAAUAACACAUGUAAUGAAAAAUUUAUAAUAUAAAAAUCAAAUGCUUUAAUGACGUUCAAUAAUUGUAAAAUAGAAAUAAGUGGAAUAAUUGAGGAACUAAGAUUUCAUAAAAAAGUCAAUUAUACUUCUACUUUGACCUGCAGUGUCAUAACUUUUAACAUUGACAUUUCUUUGUUACUAAAAUAAAAAAAGUAAAAAUAACAACGCAGAAAUUAUUAUAAAAACUGAAGAGAGUUUUCAAUCCAAUGAAGGACGGCAUACGUCAGCUUCCCGUUCUAAUGAGUCGUUAAAUUCGCGUCCAAUAAACUGGAGCAAAUAAUAAACAAAUACAAGGUACAAUUCAAAAGUUCCAGGACUUUUUAAACAAGGCGGCUUCUAGUGGCGCAAUCUGUCUAAAAUUGUUAUCCCUCAAUUGUGUAGUCUUCAGUGUUGUCGUAUAAAAUUUAUAUAACCGCUGACUUGUGUAACAGCUGAGACAUCGCGCUACAUGUGACAUUACAUUUGUAGUGUCGGUCGGAAAAUGAGCAUCGAACGAACAGCCAACAUUAAGUUUUGUUUCAAACUUGGUAAAACUUUUACCAAAACUCAUCAAAUGAUGAAACAAGUUUAUGGCGAUGAUUGUCUAUCCCGUAACCGCAUUAAUGAGUGGUUUAAACGUUUUCAAGAGGGACGGGAGGACUUGGAAGACGACGAACGUUCGGGCCGGCCAAAAGAUGUUUUGAACGAAAAAAACACGAAAAUUGCGCGUGAAUUCAUUAAAAAAGAGCCGAAAUCAUCGCUUAAAUAUAUGGAAUCGGAAUUAUCAAUAUCCGCAGUGUCGAUUUAUCAAAUUUUGAUAGAAAAUUUGGGCCUCAGAAAGGUUUGUGCUCGAUUUGUCCCGCACACUUUGAAACAACACGAAAAAGACCUCAGAAUCAGACAGAUUUUUUGACCAAAAAUCGCAUUCAUAUCAUCAACCAUUCACCCUAUUCGCCUGAUAUGGCACCCUGCGAUUUUUAUUUGUUCAGAAAACUACAUUUGGCCAUGAAAGGAAACCGCUAUGCUGACGUUGAUGCCAUCCUCAACGCUAUACCGACAAAUGACCUAAAAAAGUCAUUCGAUAACCUUCUUGAACGUGCAAAACGUUGUAUUCAGGCGGAAGGAGGAGGAUUUUGAAGGUGACCAAUAAAUUUUUCAAAAAAAAAAAACAAAUAAUAUUUGUUUUUUAAUAAAAGUCCUGAAACUUUUGAAUUGCACCUUGUACUUUCAAUUAUUUACACAACGAAAUUAUACAACGAUCAAAUUCAUCGAUGGUCGGGUUCAAAAACUCAAUUGACACAUUUUGUUUGCUUACACAGCAACUUUGUGCAACGAUCAAAUUCAUUGUGUUGUUGACACAACAGUCAAAUCCGUUGAUCACUGCAAUAGUAAUUUAAUAUUUUAUUUUGCUUAUUUUAAUAAUUUUGUGCAUCGGUCGAUUUCGUUGACUUCAUCGAUUUGUAAACAUAUGAGUUCAAUUAACGUUGUGCUGAGUCAAGAACUAUAACAAUAGUAAUCACCAUAAAUAGUAGUAAUAUUUUCGAAACAGCAGGAUCAACAAUCGAGAUGUAAGCUUGAAUUAAAGAAAAAUAUAAAAAAAAGUAAAAA